rnacentral:rRNA from 1 species
UACGGAGGGGGUUAGCGUUGUUCGGAAUUACUGGGCGUAAAGCGUACGUAGGCGGCUUUGUAAGUUAGGAGUGAAAUCCCCGGGCUCAACCCGGGAACUGCUCUUAAGACUGCAGAGCUUGAGGACGAGAGAGGAAAGUGGAAUUCCUAGUGUAGAGGUGAAAUUCGUAGAUAUUAGGAAGAACACCAGUGGCGAAGGCG